UACGGAGGAUGCGAGCGUUAUCCGGAUUUAUUGGGUUUAAAGGGUGCGUAGGCGGAUCGUUAAGUCAGUGGUCAAAUUGAGGGGCUCAACCCCUUCCCGCCAUUGAAACUGCCGGGCUAGAGUGGGCGAGAAGUGCGCGGAAUGCGUGGUGUAGCGGUGAAAUGCAUAGAUAUCACGCAGAACUCCGAUUGCGAAGGCAGCGCACCGGCGCCCUACUGACGCUCAGGCACGAAAGCGUGGGUAUCGAACAGG
rnacentral:rRNA from 1 species